rnacentral:rRNA from 1 species
GACGAACGCUGGCGGCGUGCUUAACACAUGCAAGUCGAGCGGUAAGGCCCUUUCGGGGGUACACGAGCGGCGAACGGGUGAGUAACACGUGGGUGACCUGCCCUCAGCUCUGGGAUAGGCCUGGGAAACUGGGUCUAAUACUGGAUAUGACUCCACGGUGCAUGUCGUGGGGUGGAAAGCCUUGUGCGGCUGAGGAUGGGCCCGCGGCCUAUCAGCUUGUUGGUGGGGUGANGGCCUACCAAGGCGACGACGGGUAGCCGGCCUGAGAGGCGACCGGCCACACUGGGACUGAGACACGGCCCAGACUCCUACGGGAGGCAGCAGUGGGGAAUCUUGCGCAAUGGGCGAAAGCCUGACGCAGCGACGCCGCGUGAGGGAUGACGGCCU